CACCGGAUGGUUCGGUG
rnacentral:misc_RNA from 1 species